AAUCAACGCUGGCGGCGUGCCUCAGACAUGCAAGUCGAACGAUUAAACUUGCCUUCGGGCAAGAUAUAAAGUGGCGCACGGGUGAGUAACACGUAAGUAAUCUACCUUCGAGUGGGGAAUAACGUCGGGAAACCGACGCUAAUACCGCAUAAUGCAGCGGCACCUAAUGGUGACAGUUGUUAAAGGAGCAAUUCGCUUGAAGAGGAGCUUGCGGCAGAUUAGCAGUUGGUAAGGUAAUGGCUUACCAAGGCUACGAUCUGUAACCGGUCUAAGAGGACGGUCGGUCACACUGACACUGAAUAACGGGUCAGACUCCUACGGGAGGCAGCAGUCGGGAAUUUUGGGCAAUGGGCGAAAGCCUGACCCAGCAACGCCGCGUGAAGGAUGAAGUAUUUCGGUAUGUAAACUUCGAAAGAAUGGGAAGAAUC
rnacentral:rRNA from 1 species